CCAGACAUUCUUAAUCUCUCGUCUCAGGUCGACUCACUCAACCCCGGAAGCAUCUUAGUGACGGAUCUCGUUGCAUGAGACCACACCACUGCUGCACAUUCCAGUCUCGGUCUUAUCGUGGAAUUUGACAAGUUUUUUAAGUCAUUCCUUCAUCCAGAUCUGAAAACGCUAUUGUCACUCUUAACAAAUUUGUCAUCUCUCCAGUAAUUUUAUCAGUGUGCGUCUGGAGUCAAAUUUUUCAGUAACUGUUCCCCACAAAUUCACUUUCUCAUUUGACUUGUUUAACUUGACACCUUCCAUCUCAUAAUGGUAGUUUUCUCUUCAUACUCUUGCCAAACUCAAAAUUACUUUCCACUGACAUCAGUUGAAUUCUAUUUGCCAAGAUUCACUCCAUCUAUCUUAUAUAAAAGUCAUCCUGCAAUCCCUGCAGUCAUCAACAUUUUCUACUCUUCUCAUCAGCUUAGCAUUAUCUGCAAACAAAUUCAUGUAACUGUCUGAAUCUUCAUAUAUGUCCACAUGUAUUACAAACAUUAUUGGACCCAACACUGACCCCUGUAGGAUGCCACCAGUUACUUUCAGCCAAGAUGAAUUCAGGUCUUGUAUCACAGUUCUCGUCUCUGUCAUCCACAUAACCCCCCUCCACUCCAGUUUUUCUUCAAUUCUUCCAUAAUUUUUUAUCUUUCAUGACAAUCUUGGUAACUGUCAAACGCUCUCUUCAAGUCUCAGCAGUCGCCAUCCACCUGUCCGUCUCUCUCCUGCACAGUGUCGACUACCCUUGGAUGAAACGACAGUAAUUUGGGGGAGCCUGGCCUUGCCCCUCUUAAAUUCAAAUUGACAGUUUACCAAAGCUUGAUCUCUGCCCAAAUAUUCCAUCCAUCUGUAUUGCUGUUUCUCCUAGUUUUCCUACAACUAGUCAAGAACACUGGUCUAUAAUUGAAAGACCAAGUUUUGCCUGGAGAGUGACCCGCUGCUUGGUGGAGCGAUGCCCCCAGAGGCCCCCAGACCAGCAUUCCACAAGUCUCUCUCAAGACAUCACCAACCACAGUCUGAAGAUGCAUGACGUGGCUCUGCGGCGGCACAGCGCCACAGGCUGGAGACUCCCGCUUCAUGGGGAACAGCAUGUCUGUCGGCAGCGAGUGGAGACGGGCGUUGGUGGUAGUGAACUCAGCAGUCCGUGUGUUCGCUGGGUUCAGACUGCACCCCACGUGCCCGUCGGUGCUUGACCAGACCACUCCUCUCACGCUCAGAUAAUAAUGGCAGCGAGGAGGCCGGACCUGUGAAGCGAGUGUGGCGGCGAGCCUUGCGGUGGAGUGUGAGUGGAAGAGGCCGGUGGAGGCGGCAGUCUGUGUGGCAGGGCUUUGGGAAGGGGGGGGAGUCUUGGCCUGGCCACCCUGCCUGUGACCUGUGGCCUCUUGUUGCUUCACCAUGUUAAGAGGGUGGUGCUGUGAAGCUGGAGGCACAGGAGCUGACCAGUGCUGCAGCAAGACAGCACACAGCAGCAGCAGCAGCAGCAGCAGCUCUCUGUGGGGGGAAGACAGCAUGUUGAGGCAAGACAGCCGCUUUGGAGGAGUGGACAGCUGCACCACCACCACCACCACCACCAAUGGAUUCUUUUACUACUGCUGCUGUUUGUCUCCUCGCAGCACAGCACCUGACUCUGGGG